rnacentral:misc_RNA from 1 species
AUUCUUUUGAGGUUCCGAAUUGAUGCUUUGAUGAUUGUGUAAACUAAAACUUAUAUAACCAGCUCGAACCCUAGCGCCUUAUGCGCUUAAGUGUGUGCCUUUGUUCCACACACAAGGUUCUAGGAAGGAUGUCUUUCUUUAUUUCCAUUUUUAGCGAGCUCUUUCAUUGGCAAAUUGGAUUACUACUUAAACUCAAAAGAAU